rnacentral:rRNA from 1 species
GACGAACGCUGGCGGCGUGCCUAACACAUGCAAGUCGAGCGAAGUGAGUACUACGGUACGAACUUAGCGGCGGACGGGUGAGUAACGCGUGGACAAUCUACCCUGUAGACGGGGAUAACACCUCGAAAGGGGUGCUAAUACCGGAUAAUGUCGAGAAGCGGACCCGCUUUUCGACGAAAGGAGAGAAUCCGCUAUAGGAGGAGUCCGCGUCCCAUUAGCUAGUUGGUGAGGGUAACGGCCCACCAAGGGGACGAUGGGUAGCCGGCCUGAGAGGGUGAACGGCCACACUGGAACUGAGACACGGUCCAGACUCCUACGGGAGGCAGCAGUGGGGAAUAUUGUGCAAUGGGGGAAACCCUGACACAGCAACGCCGCGUGAGCGAGGAAGGCCUUCGGGUUGUAAAGCUCAAUAGUAUGGGAAGAUAAUGACGGUACCAUACGAAAGCCCCGGCUAACUACGUGCCAGCCGCCGCCGUAAAAC